CCGCAAAGAAAUUGGUGUUCCUUCUCACUCAAAGGCUGUGUUUGAACAAUAGCUCUCAAAGGAUUUCUUUGAAUCCCCUUGUCUAAGAGUCUCUGAAGUUCUCCAUUUGAAACAGGCACAGCUUUAUGGCUGCAAGUGGCUGGAUUGCGAUAGUAGAUUGGGUGUUUGAUUUUGAGCUCGGAUUGCUUUGACGAUGAUGUAAAUUGGAUUUGCUGUCGUUUGAAUUGGGUGAUGGUAUUUGGAGUUUGCUUGAGUUAUCUCUUGAAGUUUUGGCUGCUGAUUGCUUGGACUUGAGAUGAUCUUCUACCUAUCAUAAAAUUUACUGAUUAUAAAGGGUUUGCUCUUCUAGAUCCUACUUACAAAAUAUAUGUGUUCAUGCAUUUUGGAAAGGUAGUCUAAAAGUGGACAAGUUAAUGAUAUUGAUGUCUUCUUGAGCUGAAGUUUUGGUAUUAUUCUGUGAUGGUGUUAGCUGUGCUUCACUUGUGUCCGAGUCCUUGUGUUCUCUUGGACUGGAUUGCGUGGUUACAUUUAAAUUGAGUAUGUUGUUGAUGUUAUCUUGUUUUAAAGGUUAGAACUUCUAUGUAGCUUUGAGGCAGCAAUCUGGUAAAGGUUUUGGUACCAAUGUGAUGGAUGGUUUUGAAGUGUAAAUAUUGUAUUGAACAAACUGUAGGGUUGUAUCUAAACUAUUUCUUAUCAGAUUUUAAUGUUUCUUUUGUAUCUUUAAAAGCAAAGGAACAAAGGAGUUACGUGUGUUUAAAGUGAUGCAAAACCAUUUGUUUACUGCCCUGUUUUUAAAAGGUUUGGUUAUGGAAGCACACAAAUGUUCUUGAGAUGUUUAUUUGGAAACUUCAGACUAGUUGGUUUU